AGAGAGUUUGAUCCUGGCUCAGGACGAACGCUGGCGGCGUGCCUAAUACAUGCAAGUCGAACGCUUCUUUUUCCACCGGAGCUUGCUCCACCGGAAAAAGAGGAGUGGCGAACGGGUGAGUAACACGUGGGUAACCUGCCCAUCAGAAGGGGAUAACACUUGGAAACAGGUGCUAAUACCGUAUAACAAUCGAAACCGCAUGGUUUUGAUUUGAAAGGCGCUUUCGGGUGUCGCUGAUGGAUGGACCCGCGGUGCAUUAGCUAGUUGGUGAGGUAACGGCUCACCAAGGCCACGAUGCAUAGCCGACCUGAGAGGGUGAUCGGCCACAUUGGGACUGAGACACGGCCCAAACUCCUACGGGAGGCAGCAGUAGGGAAUCUUCGGCAAUGGACGAAAGUCUGACCGAGCAACGCCGCGUGAGUGAAGAAGGUUUUCGGAUCGUAAAACUCUGUUGUUAGAGAAGAACAAGGAUGAGAGUAACUGUUCAUCCCUUGACGGUAUCUAACCAGAAAGCCACGGCUAACUACGUGCCAGCAGCCGCGGUAAUACGUAGGUGGCAAGCGUUGUCCGGAUUUAUUGGGCGUAAAGCGAGCGCAGGCGGUUUUUUUUCUAAAAUAAUCAAUCAGAUACUUUGUUAGAAGAAUCCCUAAGAAAAAGGGAGACUUGAGUGCAGAAGAGGAGAGUGGAAUUCCAUGUGUAGCGGUGAAAUGCGUAGAUAUAUGGAGGAACACCAGUGGCGAAGGCGGCUCUCUGGUCUGUAACUGACGCUGAGGCUCGAAAGCGUGGGGAGCAAACAGGAUUAGAUACCCUGGUAGUCCACGCCGUAAACGAUGAGUGCUAAGUGUUGGAGGGUUUCCGCCCUUCAGUGCUGCAGCUAACGCAUUAAGCACUCCGCCUGGGGAGUACGACCGCAAGGUUGAAACUCAAAGGAAUUGACGGGGGCCCGCACAAGCGGUGGAGCAUGUGGUUUAAUUCGAAGCAACGCGAAGAACCUUACCAGGUCUUGACAAUAACCAACUUUAAAUAACCAACUUUAAAUAACCAACUUGAAAUAAACAAAUUCAAAGAAGUGUCGUCAGCUCGUGUCGUGAGAUGUUGGGUUAAGUCCCGCAACGAGCGCAACCCUUAUUGUUAGUUGCCAUCAUUCAGUUGGGCACUCUAGCAAGACUGCCGGUGACAAACCGGAGGAAGGUGGGGAUGACGUCAAAUCAUCAUGCCCCUUAUGACCUGGGCUACACACGUGCUACAAUGGGAAGUACAACGAGUUGCGAAGUCGCGAGGCUAAGCUAAUCUCUUAAAGCUUCUCUCAGUUCGGAUUGCAGGCUGCAACUCGCCUGCAUGAAGCCGGAAUCGCUAGUAAUCGCGGAUCAGCACGCCGCGGUGAAUACGUUCCCGGGCCUUGUACACACCGCCCGUCACACCACGAGAGUUUGUAACACCCGAAGUCGGUGAGGUAACCUUUUGGAGCCAGCCGCCUAAGGUGGGAUAGAUGAUUGGGGUGAAGUCGUAACAAGGUAGCCGUAUCGGAAGGUGCGGCUGGAUCACCUCCUUU
rnacentral:rRNA from 1 species